ACGGGGUGCAGCAGGCGCGAAAACUUUGCAAUGUGCGAAAGCACGACAAGGUUAAUCCGAGUGGUUUCUGCUAAAGGAACCUUUUGACAGUCCUAGAAACACUGUUGAAUAAGGGGUGGGCAAGUUCUGGUGUCAGCCGCCGCGGUAAAACCAGCACCUCAAGUGGUCAGGAUGAUUAUUGGGCCUAAAGCACCCGUAGCCGGUUCUGUAAGUUUUCGGUUAAAUCUGUACGCUCAACGUACAGGCUGCUGGGAAUACUGCAGAACUAGGGAGUGGGAGAGAUAGACGGUACUCGGGAGGAAGUGGUAAAAUGCUUUGAUCUCUCGAUGACCACCUGUGGCGAAGGCGGUCUAUCAGAACACGUCCGACGGUGAGGGAUGAAAGCUGGGGGAGCAAACCGGAUUAGAUACCCGGGUAGUCCCAGCUGUAAACUAUGCAAACUCAAUGAUGCAUUGACUUAUGGUCAAUGCAGUGUUGCAGGGAAGCCGUUAAGUUUGCCGCCUGGAAGUACGUACGCAAGU
rnacentral:rRNA from 1 species